UGCAACUCUAGAAAACUUUUCAUCACUCUUAAUAUGAAAAACCUUUAGCACAACACGCUUAUAGAAGUUUUCAUCUAUCUCCUUGUAUACAGACUGGAGAGUUGAGUUGAAGACCUGUUUCCUCUUCACAUUACUCAACAAUAUUGCUUUCUCUCUCUGCAGCAAUUCAUCCAACUCCAGCUGUCUGAGGAACGUCCUGAUUGCUUUGUGAACACUUCCCCUACUGCUGAGGAGACCUUGAAUCAUCUACGCCAGCAGUGUGACUCCUCUCCACAGUCUCUGUGUCAGCAGAGACUGCAUUGUUAAGAUAAGUUUUUCCAGCUAAGAUUCUCAUAUUUGAUGUGAUUUAGGGUUUUAAUUGCCUUACAGGGUAAGAUUGCUCUAUGUUGUCACAUGGUGAGAAUAUUUACUCUAAUGAAAGAAAGUUGAGGCAAACCCUCCUGGUUUUGCAUGCAGAGUUCACUAACUGAGGGAUCUUUACUGGUGUACAACCUGGAUAAUUUGAUUUAUUUUCAUAUGUGUGAAGUAGAAGGAGAAUGCAUCCUGAUGUGCUCUUUGAGAAGAAAAUCCUUGCUCAGGCUGUUGCAUUUGGUGAUGUUGGAGUUACUUCUGAUGACAUCUGGCACUAGAAGAUGUGAAAGAAACCCAGGAUGUCAAGGACCCCGUUCUUGUAAAGUUUCAAGAUCACCACUCUUAUAAAUUUCUUCGUGCCUCGUAAUUUAGGUUUGAAUUAGGCUUCAUGUAUUGCAUACUCUUGUGAACCAGCAUGAAUGUUGUUCUCAAUGAUAAAUAGCAAUUCGUAAUCAUCACCUUUUUGGCACAAUCUGUUUCUGGCAGAAUCCUCAUUGUAAUGCA